rnacentral:rRNA from 1 species
UACGUAGGGUGCAAGCGUUAAUCGGAAUUACUGGGCGUAAAGCGUGCGCAGGCGGUUAUGUAAGACAGUUGUGAAAUCCCCGGGCUCAACCUGGGAACUGCAUCUGUGACUGCAUAGCUAGAGUACGGUAGAGGGGGAUGGAAUUCCGCGUGUAGCAGUGAAAUGCGUAGAUAUGCGGAGGAACACCGAUGGCGAAGGCAAUCCCCUGGACCUGUACUGACACUCAUGCACGAAAUCGUGGUGAGCAAACAGC